rnacentral:lncRNA from 1 species
GCACGCGCGCUACGUCCCUCAGACUGGCUGCCCCCGAGGGUUCGCGUGAGCGGAGCACGGGGCUCGGGGUGCGGGGGGCUGGUGUGAUGGACGCAUUUGUUCUUCGGUCCCUGACGAUUGUUUCUCAUUUGCCCUCCAAGCCCCAAAUCCUGUCAGUCCACGGCCUUGAUGGAGCGGCCCCCGUGGGACGACCCUGUUGAUUGUGCUAGCGGAUGUUGUCUCCAUUCUGGAUCUGGGAAAAACUGUGGAGUGAAAGCCGGACCUGUUAGGGUUGGGACCUGAAAGCGGACUUUUUCGCUCUCAGACGGGCCCCAGGAAUUUCAUGUUUAACAGAGGUGUCUUCAAGGAGAUGAAACAAUUCAGAAUGACCUAGGCAAUGGGGUAAUUCCUAAGGAACAAGCUAUUCAUUCAUACAGCAUGGACGAAUAUUAAAUGCAUGUUGCUGAGUGAAAGAAGCCAGAAUGAUAAGGCUACAUCCUGGAAAAGUUUAUAUUCUGGAAAAGGCAAAACUUAUAGAGACAGAAACAAAUCAGCCAGUUGUUGCUGGGGUUUGGGAGAGAAGAAUGUUGACUAUGUGAAGAACAAGGGAUCUUGGGGGGCAUCUAUUCCAUAUGCUACUGUAGGGGUGGAUGCAUGAUACUAUCAUUUGUGGAAAACCAUAGAACUUUACAAAACUAACAGUGAACCUUAAUGUCUGCAAAAUUUUACAAAAUCAACUAGGAGGCUGGGGGAUCCCAGGAUGAAAUACAGGCAAUGACAAAAGAGCCUAACUCUAUUACACAUUUAUAACAUAACCGCACCGAAGAGGACUGGUAUUCUAUAACUGUGGAAAUAAUGGAAACUGGAAAACUGAAGACAAAAGGAACUGUACUUAGCACUAUACUCUAGUUGGUAAAGGCGUUUCUCAAGGGGUACCAGUUAACAAUUCUGAGACUGCUGUACAUGUAUGCAGAGACUGAACAAAUAAGUAAAUGGCUGGUACAUGCUCACUCUCAGGGAGGGAGGCCACAGAUAAACAAGAGGAAGAGGCUCUAAUGUCAUGUGUGGUUGUGGAUUAGAACCAGAAACAUAAAUAUGAACUCAUGUUUAGAUUAAUAUAGAUAUUAAUGGAUUGAUAUAGAAAUAAUGAUGAUAUGGGUAUAUAUACAGGUUAGUAUACAGUCAUAUAUUUCUUAUCCCUAUCCACUGAGAGGGCCUAGAAACAACAAUACUCCAGUAGCAACACACACAUCUCGUGCCCAUAUCUUGAUUUCUUUUGCCAUUUCCUAACAAAAGGAGCCAGGACUUCUUGGAGAAAUGGCUGAUUCUAAGACUGGGUCAGAGAGUAUACCAGAUGACGCUGGCACAUCUUCUACUGCUAGAAAGUAAGGAAAUGCUCAAAAAAUAAAACCACGGAGAUAUUUCAAAGGAACACAGAAGCCAAGUGGAACAGCUCCCAGUGGCCAAAGCUGGAAAAAUUGGGGCAAAAAAAAAAAAAAAAGUAUUAGGUUAUAAUCCAAAAUAUAAAAUAAAUAAUCACCAGCCCGUACUAAUGUGCAUAAAUUAUUGAAUAAAUAAGUAAAUGGGUGAAAAGAGAAAACUCUCUCCCAUACAAAGGAAGCCCAAAUAAUUUAUGUAGAUGAUCGCCCUGCAAUGAGGCAGAGGGCAACUCCCUACCCUGUGUUAAGUGUGGAUGGCACUUAGAGACUUGCUUCUGAAGAGCGCAAUACGGAAAGGAGGGGAGAAGUAACUUGGCAAUGAAGAAACCUGACAAACACCAUCUUCUCCAGGCAGCCAAGGUUAACACCAUCAGUGAUAAGUUACGUUGAUAGCCUGUAUUUUUGAUAUGAUGUGUUGAGAAUGUACUUAGUUUCUGUGGUCUUCUUCCCAAACACCUGACACCAGGCUCACCAGGAGAAAAUGAAUCCAAAUUAAGGGACAUUCUACAGAAUACCUGACCAACACUCCCUCCUAAAAACUGUCAAGGUCAUCAAGGAAUGUCUAGGAAGAAGGAAAGUCUGAGAAGUUGUCUCAGCCCAGAGGAGCCUUAAGAAGCCAUGACAGGUAGGGCGCGGUGGCUCACGCCUGUAAUCCCAGCACUUUGGGAGGUCGAGGUGGGCGGAUCAC